UGUUAGAAUUGUGUCAGCCCCCACCUGUUGAGCGGUAUUUGCAUGACCUGCUUCAGUAUGCAUUGGGUGUUCUGCACAUUGUUACGUUGGUAAAUGACAGCCGCAAAAUGAUUGUAAAUGCCACAUUAAGUAAUAAUCGUGUUGGUAUAGCUGUAAUUUUGGAUGCAGCAAAUAUUUCUGGUAAUUAUGUGGACCCUGAGAUUAUACAGCCAGCAUUAAAUGUGUUGAUCAAUCUUGUUUGUCCACC
rnacentral:misc_RNA from 1 species